AAAACGGUUGUGUUUGCACUCACGAAAAAAAAAAAUAAUUACUAGUUGUGCAAAAAAAGGGAAAAUUUUUAGCAAAAAAGACGUUUUGUGAUUUAAUUUUAAGUGAAAAAACGGAAAAUUAACAAAAAAUUAACGAAAAAUUUAAAAAGAAAUAUUUUGAAAAAACAAAAAAUUGUCCAGAAACCACAAAUUGCGCCACACAAAAACUUUUCCAAUUUUUUUUUUAUUAUUUUUAUUUUGAAUUUUGUAGUUUAAAACGAAAAUUGAGCAGUGACACGCACAGUAAAUGCCACAGAAAACAUAAAUAAAUAACAUCACACCCGUUGUUGGUCAUUCCCGUUGUUCGUUUAUGGAAAAUGAACAAGAAAAUUCAAAACAAGGGAAAAUUAUCGAUUCUUUUAAAAUAGAAAAUUUCACUCGACUGCAAUCAAAGAGAAAUUAAAAAUGAUGUAAUAAAUCGAAAAAUAGCAAAAAAAAAUCGACAAGCGCAAUGUUACCAAACCCACCAAGUCAAAAGUUGUUACAAAUUCACUCAACUGACAUCAUUUGUGUCCGACAUCACAAAACCGCAACGCAACAGCAGCAUCAGCAGCAGCACAAAAAAUGUUAAAAACCAAAUCAAAAGUGUCGUCGUCGCUGCACGCCGUCGCAGCGAGCAUUCACGCGACAAAUCACACAAAUUAUCAUGCACGCGAUCCGGAAUCCGAGACACUUCUCAAGUCCUCCGGAUCCAGUUCGUCGCUGUCGUCCGUGGCGUCAAACGGAAGUAGUAGUAAGCCAAAUGACUAUAUUAGCUUUAGACGUCGUGCCAAAAUCAAACAACAGGAACGCUACGGAAGACUUCGUCUCGUCGCUCUCGUGCUCGGGAUCUUGUUCAUCAUUUUCCUCUCGUUCGUCACAAAUACGCGCCAAUAUCAGCCACAAAUUUCCGUCAUUAUUCCCAAUGACGACUUGAAUCUGCCAGGACCAACAGUGCCUCAUGGAUACUUGAUUUAUGGACCAGAAUGCAAAAUACCGGAUAUUGAUCCAUUGGCCAAAGAUGUGAUGAAGAUUUUUCAUCGAGAGACCUACAAACCCUGUAAUAGUAAGCCCGCGUUAACGUACAUCCAGCAAAUUUGGAGCAAUGAUACUGUGUUCCUCCAUUUGAACUUUUCCUCCGUGAAGAGUUACGUUACCGGCAAAAAUGAUUAUUUGGAGUGUUGUUAUCAGGAAAUUAUUCGAUCUGGCGAGUUUACGCAUGCGGAUGACAAAAUAAACUUAACAUCAUGUCACUCCUUCGACAUGGUCGUUCAACUGCCAGCACAAGCGGAAUUCCUACUCGUGAAUUGCAAACGAAUCUCCUCCAAGAAGAAACCUGAAACCGUUUACACAAAUGCUCACGCUCUUGUGCGUCGAAAGCCCGAAGUAAUGAAGCGUUUCGCGGAAAAAUCCGAAAAAAAUGCCACAAAACCUCUGAGCGUCUUGCUAAUAGGCAUCGACAGCAUCUCUCGCCUCAACUUGAUCCGCGCAAUGCCAAAUACCGCGCAAUAUUUAUACGACACCGGCUGGAUGGAGCUCAAGGGUUACAACAAAAUCGACGACAAUACUUUCCCGAAUCUCAUGGCAAUCUUGGCAGGCUUCAACAAUUCCGUCGCUUAUGACGUGUGUAAUCCAAAAAAGGUCGGAAAAUUGGAUGCAUGUCCGAUGAUUUGGAAUAAUUUUCGUGAGCAAGGUUACGCGACGGCAUAUGCGGAGGACGAAACACGCAUCAAUACGUUCAACUACAACAAAUACGGGUUCCUUACGCCGCCUGUGGACCACUAUUUGCGUCCUUUUGGCAUCGCCGCCGAGAAACACCUGCACAAAACGAAGCUCAGUAGCUUGACUUUGUGUCUCGGCUACCAAAAUUACGCGGAUUACAUCUAUCAAUAUGCUUUAGAUUUUGCCCAGCAGUACAAAGGACAUCCGUAUUUCGGGCUUUUUUGGACCAACACCUUCUCGCACAACGACAUCAGUUCGGCAAGUUGCAUGGAUGACAAAAUGCGCGAAUAUAUCAUCGAGCUGGGGCGUUCCGGGAUCCUCAAUGAGACUUUGGUAGUGUUUUUUAGCGAUCACGGGAUGCGAUUUGGCAAUGUGAGGCAAUUACUCACAGGAUGGUUCGAGGAACGCCUGCCAUUUAUUUUCUUCUCGCUGCCAGAAUGGUUCAAAAAAUCAUAUCCUGAACUCGUACAAAACUUCAAAAUCAAUCGGAAUCGCCUCACGACCCCGUAUGACUUUCAUGUGACCUUGAAACAUAUUCUCUCCUUAUCCUCUCCUUCUGAUAAAACCCCAAACGUUACUUUGGGCGGUGCCCCAUCAUGUCCCGCAUGUCAAAGUUUGUUCGACGAAGUUCCUUAUAAUCGUUCCUGUAGCGAUGCACAAAUCACGCAACACUGGUGCACUUGCAUCCCCUAUGAAAAAUCCGACAAAUCCUCGCCCGAAGUGAAAGAUGCCGUCAAAUUCGCCAUUCAAGUCAUCAAUAACGAACUCGAGGCUUAUAAAAAGGCAAAUUCACGAACAACUCACAUUACAACAACAACAACAAUUUCGGGUAAUAAUGCGACAGCAGCCCCUUUUUACUCGAACAAAUGCUCAAAACUGAAGCUGAAAAAGAUAUCAAAUGCAAAAAUCGCGAAAAUACCGUCGGAUAAUGUCACCUAUUACUUGGUUGUGUUCGAAGUUUAUCCGGGAGGCGGGGAAUUUGAAGCUACGGUGAAGUAUAACGUCAAGACGAGUCAUCAGCUGACCGGAUCAAUUAGUCGACUGAAUGCUUAUGGCAAUCAAGGGUAUUGCGUGAAUGAUGACAACUUGAAGAAAUAUUGCUACUGCAAGGAUUAACAAGAGACAAAGGUAGUACGAAGUAAGAGACGACGUGAUUUGAAGGAAUUGUAGGUCCUGAAAUUUUUUGGAAAAAAAAACUAAAAUUCUCUCUUUUCAUAUCUUAGCAAUUGUUAAACUUGAAAAGAAAAAAAUUCGAUGCUCAAUCAUCUUGUUAAUUAAUUUUUAAAUUAAGCUAUUGGUACCUUUAAAUUUACGAAUAAGUUAAAAAAAAAGACUCUGAUGUAUCAUAUUAUUAAAAAUUUUAAAAUUUAAUUAGAAUCUGU